AGGGUGUAAACGCUGCAGACUUGGUGUUGGGAACCCUUCGGGGGUGCUCAGUGCCGGAGAGAAGUUGUUAAGUCUGCUACUUGGGGAGUACGUCCGCAAGGAUGAAACUUAAAGGAAUUGGCGGGGGAGCACCACAACGGGUGGAGCCUGCGGUUUAAUUGGACUCAACGCCGGGAAGCUCACCGGAUAAGACAGCGGAAUGAUUGCCGGGCUGAAGACUCUGCAUGACUAGCUGAGAGGAGGUGCAUGGCGUAGACGUGU
rnacentral:rRNA from 1 species